rnacentral:rRNA from 1 species
GUCCUACGGGAGGCAGCAGUGGGGAAUUUUGGACAAUGGGGGCAACCCUGAUCCAGCCAUGCCGCGUGCAGGAUGAAGGUCUUCGGAUUGUAAACUGCUUUUGUCAGGGACGAAAAGGGAUGCGAUAACACCGCAUUCUGCUGACGGUACCUGAAGAAUAAGCACCGGCUAACUACGUGC